UGUAUUUAUAAAAGAUAGAGAAUGACAACAGUGCAAUACAUAAUUAAACUGGUACAAAAAGGAAUAAAAGGACAUCCCUAUACAUAUACAUGUAUUCUUAUAAUCUGAGUAUGUGUCAAGAUUGGGUAACCCACACUCACAGAGUAUAGGGAAACAGUAACCAGAAUGAAAGAAUAAAAAGAGAGAAGGUAUGUAUACCGGACCUUAGAAUGCCCGGGUUAACUUACGCCCUAGAUAGGAGAAAAAUACAGAGUCAAAAUAGCAAGCCAAGGUCAAGGACACAAGAGAUACUCAAAAACGAAAAAACAAGCCGAAGUCAGGCAACCAGAAAAUCAGAAUAGUCAAAUACACAUCCGGGUCAGUAACGAGAAAAGCAAAAAAACUUCACAGAAAGCACUCUCGGGCAGAAUAAACCACAAUAGGGCAAUGAUCUCCAGAAAGAGGGAAGUUUAAAUAGGGAGAACAAAAAUCUUAUUGGAUAGGAUCAUCACCCUGAACACCAAAUCACACAAAGGGGUGUGACCUGUGAAGGGCAAAUAAUGUGUCCCAAUAAUAUGACCUAAAACAAUAAAUAGUUGCAGCGCACUCAGACUACAAAACAAUAUAUAAUACAAAGAAGGCUACUAAAAUGCCUAUCUGAG